rnacentral:tRNA from 1 species
GCCCAGGUGGCGAAACAGGUAGACGCACAGGACUUAAAAUCCUGCGGGAGAUGAUCCCGUACCGGUUCAAGUCCGGUCCCGGGCACCA